UACGGAGGGUGCGAGCGUUGUCCGGAAUCAUUGGGCGUAAAGGGUGCGUAGGUGGCGGGACAAGCGUGCGGUGAAAGCUCGGGGCUCAACCCCGAGUCGGCCGUGCGAACUGUUUUGCUUGAGCACUGUAGAGGCAGGCGGAAUUCCGGGUGUAGCGGUGGAAUGCGUAGAGAUCCGGAAGAACACCGGUGGCGAAGGCGGCCUGCUGGGCAGUAGCUGACACUGAGGCGCGACAGCGUGGGGAGCAAACAGG
rnacentral:rRNA from 1 species